AAAGUACCUCAGUCCUCGAGUGAGUGGUGGGUGGGAAGGAAGGGGAGGAUGCUGGUCAGAAAGCUGGGGGCACUGCUCCUGCUUUGGGGUGAGGAAGCAUGAGAUUUGUGUCUGCUGCUGCUCCUGGGACCCCACCCUGAGACUUCUCCAAGCAGGAAGGGCAGACGCAGAGCUUCCAGAGACUUCGUUGGCACUUGUUGUCCAGACCAGCAGGAUACAAGGCCAACACAGUGACAUGACUGGCCACGUCAUCCAGUGGGAGGAUCAGACUCAAAUGUCUGAUAUAUAGCAGUGCUCUGUCUGCAUGGCUCUAAAGUGAGUCCAGUUGUCUUUCAGGUUAAUUGUCAGUAUACGGCAGGAGAACAUCUCCAGGAUGAAACUGGCACUGCUGCUAGUGCUGGCCAUGCUGGCAGUGUUCUGCCAUCCUGCUACAGCUUCACCUUGCGAACUCCUCCAGAAAAUAAUGGAAAGGUUUCUCUUUGGAUCUGUUGAUGAAUUUAUGGAUGCAGUAUCUCCAUUCAUCACAACACCUGCUAUGAGUGUGAUGGAAAGCAGUUUGAAGAAGUGUGUGCAGGCUUCUGUCACAGACAAACAGGCUCUUGCACAACUGCUGACUCAGAUGUUUGGCAAGUGCUAAAGAUGCCAUGAAUCUGCUAUCGUCGAGGAGCCAAUGAGAAACCAAAGAUCAUAGAAUGAAUGACAGAAUCAUCGAACGGCCUGGGUUAAAAAGGACCUCCAAGAUCAUACAGUUUCAACCCCCUGCCACGGGCAGGGUCGCGAGAUCCGCUGAUAUCCGCCUGUCCCCAGCAACCACUCACUGAGUUCUUUCUUCUCUCUCAUCCCGCAGUCACUAUAAAGAACCUCCUCUCAAUUCACCUUUCAAUAAACUCAAUGCGAUUCAGCCCUUCGUUCCUCUUUCAGUGUUUGCUUUCACAAACGAUCUAGCCAGACCCCCGUCGUUGCAGGGGAGUUGGACAAGGUGACCUUUCCAGCUAAGGACUCUAUGGCCAUUCGCAAU